GGCGAACGGGUGAGUAAUGCAUCGGAACGUGCCCAAUCGUGGGGGAUAACGCAGCGAAAGCUGUGCUAAUACCGCAUACGAUCUAUGGAUGAAAGCGGGGGACCUUCGGGCCUCGCGCGAUUGGAGCGGCCGAUGUUAGAUUAGGUAGUUGGUGGGGUAAAGGCUCACCAAGCCGACGAUCUAUAGCUGGUCUGAGAGGACGACCAGCCACACUGGAACUGAGACACGGUCCAGACUCCUACGGGAGGCAGCAGUGGGGAAUUUUGGACAAUGGGCGAAAGCCUGAUCCAGCAAUACCGCGUGCAGGAAGAAGGUCCUCGGGUUGUAAACUGCUUUUGUACGGAACGAAACGGCGCGCUCUAAUAAAGUGCGCUAAUGACGGUACCGUAAGAAUAAGCACCGGCUAACUACGUGCCAGCAGCCGCGGUAAUACGUAGGGUGCAAGCGUUAAUCGGAAUUACUGGGCGUAAAGCGUGC
rnacentral:rRNA from 1 species